CCUACGGGUGGCAGCAGUGAGGAAUAUUGGUCAAUGGACGAGAGUCUGAACCAGCCAAGUAGCGUGAAGGAUGACUGCCCUAUGGGUUGUAAACUUCUUUUAUAUGGGAAUAAAAUGUUCCACGUGUGGGAUUUUGUAUGUACCAUAUGAAUAAGGAUCGGCUAACUCCGUGCCAGCAGCCGCGGUAAUACGGAGGAUCCGAGCGUUAUCCGGAUUUAUUGGGUUUAAAGGGAGCGUAGGUGGAUUGUUAAGUCAGUUGUGAAAGUUUGCGGCUCAACCGUAAAAUUGCAGUUGAAACUGGCAGUCUUGAGUAAAGUAGAGGUGGGCGGAAUUCGUGGUGUAGCGGUGAAAUGCUUAGAUAUCACGAAGAACUCCGAUUGCGAAGGCAGUUCACUGGACUGCAACUGACACUGAGGCUCGAAAGUGUGGGUAUCAAACAGGAUUAGAUACCCUAGUAGUC
rnacentral:rRNA from 1 species